UACGGGGGGGGCAAGCGUUGUUCGGAAUUACUGGGCGUAAAGGGCCAGUAGGCGGCCAACUAAGUCGGAUGUGAAAUCCCCGGGCUCAACCCGGGAACUGCGUCCGAUACUGGCAGGCUUGAAUUCGGGAGAGGGAUGCGGAAUUCCAGGUGUAGCGGUGAAAUGCGUAGAUAUCUGGAGGAACACCGGUGGCGAAGGCGGCAUCCUGGACCGACAUUGACGCUGAGGCGCGAAAGCCAGGGGAGCAAACGGG
rnacentral:rRNA from 1 species